UAGGGAAUCUUCCGCAAUGGGCGAAAGCCUGACGGAGCAACGCCGCGUGAGUGAUGAAGGUCUUCGGAUCGUAAAACUCUGUUAUUAGGGAAGAACAAAUGUGUAAGUAACUAUGCACGUCUUGACGGUACCUAAUCAGAAAGCCACGGCUAACUACGUGCCAGCAGCCGCGGUAAUACGUAGGUGGCAAGCGUUAUCCGGAAUUAUUGGGCGUAAAGCGCGCGUAGGCGGUUUUUUAAGUCUGAUGUGAAAGCCCACGGCUCAACCGUGGAGGGUCAUUGGAAGCUGGAAAACUUGAGUGCAGAAGAGGAAAGUGGAAUUCCAUGUGUAGCAGUGAAAUGCGCAGUGAUAUGGAGGAACACCAGUGGCGAAGGCGACUUUCUGGUCUGUAACUGACGCUGAUGUGCGAAAGCGUGGGGAUCAAACAGG
rnacentral:rRNA from 1 species